rnacentral:rRNA from 1 species
AACGAACGCUGGCGGCAGGCUUAACACAUGCAAGUCGAGCGCCCCGCAAGGGGAGCGGCAGACGGGUGAGUAACGCGUGGGAAUCUACCCAUCUCUACGGAAUAACGCAUGGAAACGUGUGCUAAUACCGUAUACGUCCUUCGGGAGAAAGAUUUAUCGGAGAUGGAUGAGCCCGCGUUGGAUUAGCUAGUUGGUGGGGUAAAGGCCUACCAAGGCGACUAUCCAUAGCUGGUCUGAGAGGAUGAUCAGGCACACUGGGACUGAGACACGGCCCAGACUCCUACGGGAGGCAGCAGUGGGGAAUAUUGGACAAUGGGCGCAAGCCUGAUCCAGCCACGCCGCGUGAGUGAUGAGGGCCCUAGGGUUGUAAAGCUCUUUCACCGGUGAAGAUAAUGACGGUAACCGGAGAAGAAGCCCCGGCUAACUUCGUGCCAGCCGCCGCAGUAAAAC